rnacentral:misc_RNA from 1 species
GACAGAGUCGCAUUUAGUCGUCGGCGAUACGGCCUGCUAAUUCCUCGUUCGUUCGAAUAUUUUCGUCGCGUCUGCGGCCGUUUAAAAACCUGCCCGUCGCUUAAGUGCUGUCGGCGAUUAAAAGAAGAGGAAGAAGGAGAAAAAAACAAGAUACACCAUGGUAUAUAUCAAACGAAACACCAUGUCCUUGACAUCCUAUUCAUCGUAGAGAUAAUACAAGAGAAAAGCCACCGC